rnacentral:lncRNA from 1 species
UUGGGGGCGCUGUGAACUAAAACAACACUUAGUUACCUACUUCUGGGAAGCCAUCUUGGCUCGGACUCCGGGACUGGGAAAAAGAAAGUAGAAAAAUUCGUAAGACCUCAGGGCUGUGGAAGAGAACGGGACAUCAAGGAAAAAAGAUAUAUAUAGCAACCAACCCAGAAGGCUGCAUGAUGAGUGAAGCAAAGGCAAGUUUGGCUAAGAUAGUAUUAUAUGCUCUGA